AACGUAGGACACAAGCGUUAUCCGGAGUUACUGGGCGUAAAGGGCGCGUAGGCGGCCCGGUAAGGUUGCGGUGAAAGCCCGGGGCUCAACCCCGGGUCGGCCGUGGCAACUGCUGGGCUGGAGCACAGUAGAGGCGGGUGGAAUUCCGGGUGUAGCGGUGGAAUGCGUAGAGAUCCGGAAGAACACCGGUGGCGAAGGCGGCGACCUGGUCCGAUACUGACGCUGAGGCGCGAAAGACGUGGGGAGCAAACAGG
rnacentral:rRNA from 1 species